rnacentral:rRNA from 1 species
GACGAACGCUGGCGGCGUGCCUAAUACAUGCAAGUAGAACGAGUGGCGGACGGGUGAGUAAUGUCUGGGAAACUGCCCGAUGGAGGGGGAUAACUACUGGAAACGGUAGCUAAUACCGCAUACCAUCGGAUGUGCCCAGAUGGGAUCAGCUAGUAGGUGGGGUAACGGCUCACCUAGGCGACGAUCCCUAGCUGGGCUGAGAGGAUGACCAGCCACACUGGAGCUGAGACAGGGUCCAGUGACCUACGGGAGGGAGCAGUGGGGAAGAUUGCACAAUAGGCGCGAGGCUGAUGCAGCCAUGCCGCGUGUAUGGAGAAGGCCUGCGGGUUGUAAAGUACUUUCAGCGAAGAGGCGUUACUCGCAGAAGAAGCACCGGCUAACUCCGUGCCAGCAGCCGCGGUAAUU